CCAAUAGCGUAUAUUAAAGUUGUUGUGGUUAAAAAGCUCGUAGUUGAACCUUGGGCCUGGCUGGCCGGUCCGCCUCACCGCGUGUACUGGUCCGGCCGGGCCUUUCCCUCUGUGGAACCCCAUGCCCUUCACUGGGUGUGGCGGGGAAACAGGACUUUUACUUUGAAAAAAUUAGAGUGCUCAAGGCAGGCCUAUGCUCGAAUACAUUAGCAUGGAAUAAUAAAAUAGGACGUGUGGUUCUAUUUUGUUGGUUUCUAGGACCGCCGUAAUGAUUAAUAGGGACAGUCGGGGGCAUCAGUAUUCAAUUGUCAGAGGUGAAAUUCUUGGAUUUAUUGAAGACUAACUACUGCGAAAGCAUUUGCCAAGGAUGUUUUCAUUAAUCAGGAACGAAAGUUAGGGGAUCGAAGACGAUCAGAUACCGUCGUAGUCUUAACCAUAAACUAUGCCGACUAGGGAUCGGACGAUGUUACAUUUUUGACGCGUUCGGCACCUUACG
rnacentral:rRNA from 1 species